GAUGAACGCUAGCGGCAGGCCUAAUACAUGCAAGUCGAACGGUGUCUUCGGACAUAGUGGCGCACGGGUGCGUAACACGUAUGCGACCUACCUUACAUUGGGGGAUAGCCUUUCGAAAGGGAGAUUAAUACCGCAUAAGACAGUAGCUGGGCAUCCAGCAGCUGUUAAAGAUUUAUCGAUGUAAGCUGGGCAUGCGUCCAAUUAGCUAGUUGGUGAGGUAACGGCUCACCAAGGCUAUGAUUGGUAGGGGAACUGAGAGGUCAAUCCCCCACACUGGCACUGAGAUACGGGCCAGACUCCUACGGGAGGCAGCAGUAGGGAAUAUUGGGCAAUGGACGCAAGUCUGACCCAGCCAUGCCGCGCGCAGGAUGAAGGCGUUAUGCGUUGUAAACUGCUUUUAUACAGGAAGAAACGACUCUUGCGAGAGGCAUUGACGGUACUGUAUGAAUAAGCACCGGCUAACUCCGUGCCAGCAGCCGCAGUAAGAC
rnacentral:rRNA from 1 species